rnacentral:rRNA from 1 species
UACGGAGGGUGCAAACGUUGCUCGGAAUUACUGGGCGUAAAGCGUGCGCAGGCGGCUUUGCAAGACAGAUGUGAAAUCCCCGGGCUUAACCUGGGAACUGCAUUUGUGACUGCAUGGCUGGAGUGCGGCAGAGGGGGAUGGAAUUCCGCGUGUAGCAGUGAAAUGCGUAGAUAUGCGGAGGAACACCGAUGGCGAAGGCAAUCCCCUGGGCCUGCACUGACGCUCAUGCACGAAAGCGUGGGGAGCAAACAGG